rnacentral:rRNA from 1 species
AUUGAACGCUGGCGGCAGGCCUAACACAUGCAAGUCGAGCGGAUGAAGGGAGCUUGCUCCUGGAUUCAGCGGCGGACGGGUGAGUAAUGCCUAGGAAUCUGCCUGGUAGUGGGGGAUAACGUCCGGAAACGGGCGCUAAUACCGCAUACGUCCUGAGGGAGAAAGUGGGGGAUCUUCGGACCUCACGCUAUCAGAUGAGCCUAGGUCGGAUUAGCUAGUUGGUGGGGUAAAGGCCUACCAAGGCGACGAUCCGUAACUGGUCUGAGAGGAUGAUCAGUCACACUGGAACUGAGACACGGUCCAGACUCCUACGGGAGGCAGCAGUGGGGAAUAUUGGACAAUGGGCGAAAGCCUGAUCCAGCCAUGCCGCGUGUGUGAAGAAGGUCUUCGGAUUGUAAAGCACUUUAAGUUGGGAGGAAGGGCAGUAAGUUAAUACCUUGCUGUUUUGACGUUACCAACAGAAUAAGCACCGGCUAACUUCGUGCCAGCAGCCGCGGUAAUACGAAGGGUGCAAGCGUUAAUCGGAAUUACUGGGCGUAAAGCGCGCGUAGGUGGUUCAGCAAGUUGGAUGUGAAAUCCCCGGGCUCAACCUGGGAACUGCAUCCAAAACUACUGAGCUAGAGUACGGUAGAGGGUGGUGGAAUUUCCUGUGUAGCGGUGAAAUGCGUAGAUAUAGGAAGGAACACCAGUGGCGAAGGCGACCACCUGGACUGAUACUGACACUGAGGUGCGAAAGCGUGGGGAGCAAACAGGAUUAGAUACCCUGGUAGUCCACGCCGUAAACGAUGUCGACUAGCCGUUGGGGUCCUUGAGAUCUUAGUGGCGCAGCUAACGCGAUAAGUCGACCGCCUGGGGAGUACGGCCGCAAGGUUA